CUAAUACAUCGCAGUUGAGAAACGAAGAUGGUCGUCUCUCCUCUUCCUGUGACGGUGACCUCUCCUCUUCCUGCGACGGCGACUGAUGCUAUUUACGAUUCUUCUCACCAUUUCAAAGGCCUGGGUAAAGGCUUCGUGAUUAAUCACAUUGAUUCGCUCGCCCACUACGUCGUCAUCAAUGCUUCCUUUUGAUCUAAUAAGCGGUGCUUUCUGUAUAAAUAUGUGUGACUAGUCCUCUCUUUGAUCUCAUCUUAUCUUCGUAACGCUUAUAUCUCAUAAUUAUGUGUGAGUAGUCCUUUCAAUCUGUAUAAAUUUUUUUAUGCAAAAGUAUCUGCUAUAUACUUGCAGUGAUGAAACUGUCACGUUAAGCUUAUUUGACUCGCAAGCUAUUUUUUUUCCACAAACAAUUUGGAGAAUUAUGUGGUGAUCCAAAGGUUAUUGUUGCUACAAACAUAAACCCAAAGCUGAUUGGAGGUCGUUUGUUCUUGAACGCAACGUCAGGGACGCACAUGUAUUUUGAUAAGGAGACGAAUGCAGGGGAAGUUCUCUUCUACCAGUUGGUCGCUAGAGACACCGGUCUUCCAUCUGCCGCACCACUGCUUAGAGGAUAUGCAAAGGUUGAGCUGAGCCUCUGAAGAUGGCUGAGCUCAACAAUUUCAUCGUCACUGCUCCAACACAGGAAAUUGACUUCUUAUGCACAGGGAGAGUUUCUCGCGUUGACGCAGAUAGGUGAUGGUGUUAUGUUGCUUACUCUAAAUGCAGUAGGAAAUUGCAGCGCACCGUCUCUGCUUUUACAUGUGUUUGAUGCGCUAAUCCUCAUGCCGUUGAGGCUCUUCGAUGGCUAUUGCUGAUGAUACUGCUGAGGGAACAUUUGUUUGGUUUGAUGGUGUAAUGACUAAGCUCCAUUAUAACCUCAGGGAAAGUGAGGCUGGCUGAAGAAGGAGUGAACCCUGAAGACACCAGUUUGCCUCCGUUCAUUGCAGACAUGGAAGGGAAAACCUACACUUUCCAGGUCAGAGUCACUGCAUAUAACUUCACAGAGCACCAUAAGACGUUCACCAUAACACACAUCGUUGAUGAGAUUAUUUGACGUCGCUGACGAUUGGGAUGAUGGCGAUGAUGAUGAUGACAAGCCAGCUGCCAAGCCACUUCCUGUUGAGGUUCAGUCUGGAGGGGGCAGUCGUAAUGCACAUAAGAAGACUGUCGACUCAACUUCGAAUGUGUUCAAGAAGGCGGGUGUUGCUUGAUAUGGAGUAACAAUAAUUUUUAUGAUCAGACUCCGAAUUUUAAUAAUACUUAUGCAUCGUUAUUACCUUUCAUGUAUUUGGUUUUCUCUGUUUUGUCUUUCCCCAGUUUUAUGGGCACUCUAAUUAUGUUUCAGACCAUCUUCGUGAUAUGAGUUUCUUUCUUUUUUGAAUCCUCA